AUGGCCCUGCGGUGUACGUGAUGUGGCCACUACGUUUUGAGCCAACACGUACCGAAUGGGAACUCACCUCGGAUGGGGGACGCGUUAGGCUUCGGCCAAGGCGGAACUCGUCGGGAAGUUCCCACCUGCGCGAGCAGGUUCAAAACUCCGCCACACACGGCACGGCGGGGCUCAC
rnacentral:other from 1 species